UUUAUUAUUAUUGUUGUUGUUAUUUUGAGUAGGACUCUCACUGUGUUGGCCAGGCUGGAGGGCAGUGGUGCAAUCAUAGA
ensembl:snoRNA